CAUGAUCUUUGAAUGUUCCAAUCACAGUGUACCCUUGUGGCCCGAGAACUAUACAUUUCUAGAUGAGAAAACUGAGGUCCAGACAAGCUAAUUGACUUCCCAAAGUUUGACAGAGAGUGACAGAGGUCAAGAUCUAUUGCUUCUGAAGUAUGGAAACUCUGUUUGAAAUCUUCCUCCUCUCCUUC